AUGGGGAGCUCCGCCAGCUGCCUCUGGAGCGGCUCCAAGUCGGGGCCAGGUCCAAAUGGUCCAGCGGCCGCGGCUGCGUCUCCUCGUUCUGGCCAUGUAUUAUCAAGAUCCGGACGAAAUAUACAAGUCUUCUCACUAAAAGAGUUGAAAUCUGCCACACGGAAUUUUCAAAUGACAAACUGCAUUGGCCGUGGGGGUUUUGGACCAGUUUAUAAGGGAGACCUGAAAGAUGGCACCCAAGUUGCAAUUAAAAGGCUUUCAGCUGAAUCAAAGCAAGGAACUAAUGAGUUCUUGACAGAAAUCGAUGUCAUAUCAAAUGUCAGGCACCCCAACCUUGUAAGGCUCAUUGGUUGCUGUGUCGAAGGGAAUAACAGAUUAUUGGUGUAUGAAUAUGCGGAGAACAACAGUUUGUCAAAUGCUUUGCUUGGACCAAAGAGUAGAUGUAUCCCUUUGAACUGGCAAACAAGAGCUGCCAUUUGUACUGGAACUGCUUCUGGUCUUGCAUUUCUUCACGAGGAAGCACAACCACGCAUAGUCCACCGUGAUAUCAAGGCUAGCAACAUCUUACUUGAUAAGACACUGGUUCCUAAAAUUGGAGAUUUUGGACUGGCCAAGCUUUUCCCUGAUGCCAUCACUCACAUUAGCACGCGCGUUGCGGGAACAAUGGGUUACUUGGCUCCAGAGUAUGCAUUAUUGGGACAGUUAACCAAGAAAGCAGACAUAUAUAGUUUCGGGGUGCUGCUUCUUGAAGUUAUAAGUGGUGAAAGCAGCAGCAAAUCGACUUGGGGGGAAGAUAUGCAUGUCCUUGUGGAAUGGACAUGGAAGCUGCGAGAAGAAGGGAGGCUUUUGGAAAUUGUAGAUCCAGACGUGGAAGAAUACCCAGAGGAGCAAGUACUUCGUUUCAUCAAGGUGGCACUUCUGUGCACCCAAGCAACAGCACAGCAGAGGCCAUCCAUGAAGCAGGUGGUCCAUAUGCUAGCUAAUGAAACAGAAAUUGAUCUUCAAAACGCCGUCCCACCGGGUGUGCUGAAAGAACCCCGUCGUAAAAUGGGCAGUUUGGGGGAUUUGGCUCUGGACACGUCCUCGAGUCAGAGCACCAGAGUCAACGCGGCUGGGUCCUGCACCACACAGACUAGAGACAUGAACAGCUGUAAUUUUAGCACAACGGAGGUUUCACCUAGGUGA
rnacentral:rRNA from 1 species